UACGGAGGGAGCUAGCGUUGUUCGGAAUUACUGGGCGUAAAGCGCGCGUAGGCGGCUUUGUAAGUUAGAGGUGAAAGCCCGGGGCUCAACCCCGGAAUUGCCUUUAAAACUGCAUCGCUUGAAUCCAGGAGAGGUGAGUGGAAUUCCGAGUGUAGAGGUGAAAUUCGUAGAUAUUCGGAAGAACACCAGUGGCGAAGGCGGCUCACUGGACUGGUAUUGACGCUGAGGUACGGAAGCGUGGGGAGCAAACAGG
rnacentral:rRNA from 1 species